rnacentral:tRNA from 1 species
GUGCAUGUAUUUUAUAUAAAGAAUUCUAUCUUUCCAUGUUAGAGGACCAGUUAUUUGGUAUGUACA